rnacentral:tRNA from 4 species
ACCCUACUGGUGUAUCGGUUAACAUGGCGGAUUCUCAUUCCGCAGCGCAGGGUUCAACUCCCUGGUAGGGUA